GACGAACGCUGGCGGCGGGCUUAACACAUGCAAGUCGAACGGAAAGGCCGUGCUUUUGUGGGGUGCUCGAGGGGCGAACGGGUGAGGAACACGUGAGUAACCUGCCCUAGACUUUGGGAUAACUUCAGGAAACGGGGGCUAAUACCGGAUAGGAGCUCCUGCUGCAUUGUGGGGGUUGGAAAGUUUCGGCUGGCGGGGAUGGACGCGCGGCUAAUCGGUUAGUUGGUCGGGUAGUGGCUUACCAAGGCAUUGACGGAUAGCCGGCCUGGGAGGGUGACCGGCCACAUGACUACUGAGAUAGGCACCAGUCUGCAACGGGCGGCAAUGGUCGGAAGUCUUGCGCAGCGAUCGCACGCGUGUUACAGAGGCGCCCCGUUCGGAAUGACGGCCUUCGGGUUAUGAACAGCUUUCGCCUGUGACGCAGCGUGAGUGACGGUAAUGGGUAAAGAAGCACCGGCUAACUACGUG
rnacentral:rRNA from 1 species